rnacentral:rRNA from 1 species
AGACCCGAAACCCGGUGAUCUAGCCAUGGGCAGGUUGAAGGUUGGGUAACACUAACUGGAGGACCGAACCGACUAAUGUUGAAAAAUUAGCGGAUGACCUGUGGCUGGGGGUGAAAGGCCAAUCAAACCGGGAGAUAGCUGGUUCUCCCCGAAAGCUAUUUAGGUAGCGCCUCGUGAAUUCAUCUCCGGGGGUAGAGCACUGUUUCGGCUAGGGGGCCAUCCCGGCUUACCAACCCGAUGCAAACUGCGAAUACCGGAGAAUGUUAUCACGGGAGACACACGGCGGGUGCUAACGUCCGUCGUGAAGAGGGAAACAACCCAGACCGCCAGCUAAGGUCCCAAAGUCAUGGUUAAGUGGGAAACGAUGUGGGAAGGCCCAGACAGCCAGGAUGUUGGCUUAGAAGCAGCCAUCAUUUAAAGAAAGCGUAAUAGCUCACUGGUCGAGUCGGCCUGCGCGGAAGAUGUAACGGGGCUAAACCAUGCACCGAAGCUGCGGCAGCGAACGUAUCACCCAAGACAACUUUACGGAGUUGACGAUUGACGGAGCGAAGCGACGUCAAAGCGUUCAUUAAAGUCGAGUUGGCUUAGGGAUACGUUCGUUGGGUAGGGGAGCGUUCUGUAAGCCUGUGAAGGUGUGUCGUGAGGCAUGCUGGAGGUAUCAGAAGUGCGAAUGCUGACAUAAGUAACGAUAAAGCGGGUGAAAAGCCCGCUCGCCGGAAGACCAAGGGUUCCUGUCCAACGUUAAUCGGGGCAGGGUGAGUCGACC